GAUGCACAUUAGCCUAAAAAGAAUCCAGGGCACUUGGCCACGCCACUCUCCUCUAUUUGUGCGGGCCGCUCCGGCUGGGAUAAGCGAGGCCUGGGUGACCCCAGCAGCCACCGACCGGCUCGUCUGCAGCCUCUCACUUCUCCUUAGGAGAGGCGCGCUCUCUGCAGCUCGCGGUCAGGUGGCGCCACCUUCCGGCUGCAUGGGCGCCCUGCAACGCUUUCCAGGUCUGCCCCAAACUCCAAAAGGAUGGCCUUGUGCAUACCUCCACAUAUCCCACUUUGGAAGCUACUGACUGGUCUGACCAUUCCGGAAUGGUCCAGAAAGGCAGAUUUUGGUUCAGCACCCGGAACCAUCCUUCAAGAAGGAGAGCUUUCCUAAAUGGCCAGCAUCCCUAAGAAGGAUUCUCCAAACACUGGAAGCAUUCAAGCAGAAGCCAACUGACCAACUGGAUGUUCACUUGCCAGCGGUGCAGAAGCAGGGGGAAAACACCAUUUUCUUAUGUCGGAUUUCUUCCAAUCUCUUAGUAAAUUAAGAACUGAACUGGAACAGGUUUAAUUUAAACAAAGUAAAGAUAUUCAGACUUGACAGGAGACAAUGGUAAUGC